ACGCUCGACACCUACGGGAGACAGCAGUGGGGAAUAUUGGGCAAUGGGCGCAAGCCUGACCCAGCAACGCCGCGUGAAGGAUGAAGGCUUUCGGGUUGUAAACUUCUUUUAUCAGGGACGAAACAAAUGACGGUACCUGAUGAAUAAGCCACGGCUAACUACGUGCCAACAGCCGCGGUAAUCUGAGCGGGCGUGGCGAAGGC
rnacentral:rRNA from 1 species